GUCCAUAGAAUUCAUAUGAUUGAUGUAACUUAAUGUGAAUACCUCUUGAAAACUUAAAAUGUUCUUUCAGAAGAUUUCUUUUUGAUUUUUACGACUUUUACUUCUUGUCAGUGGCUACUUUGAUGAUUUUAGUCCAUGAUGCAGGGUUAAGGCUUCAGAUCUGUUUCUUGUAUAUCUUUUGUUAAUGGUACGUGAUCAGUUACGUAAUGAAAAUAGAACACUUGGAUUUGUGCAUCUUUCCUUUUACAUAUAAUUUUUGCCUUUUGCAAUAUUUUCCUCUUUGAUUUGGGUUUUCACAUAUGCACCCUAAAAUGCCUAUUUUGUUUGUUUGUUAUUCGAGGUGUUGAAGAACUCUACUAACUAAUUCAAUCCCUUUGUCUUAUCCCUGUGUCUCUUAUCCCUUUGUCUGCCUUACUAAUUCAAUCUUACUCACUCUAUGAGUGUAUGUGUAAAUUAAAGUUUGUCAUUUGCUCGUGUAAUAUUCUGGCCAUCGUCAAUUCAUCGUGGUUAUACUUUCAUUUUCAUAUUGGGUUAUUUCACAUAGGUCAGGUUGCAUUAGGGUUAACUUUUUGAUUUAUUUAAAUUCUUGGCUGAUACUCUGGGAAUAGUAAGUGUAGAUUAAAAGUUUUUCUACUGCCGAUGAAUUGAACGUUCUAAGAUGGAAAACUUGAAAAUAUUGCUGCAAAAGAUAAAGUGUUCUAAGAUGUGCCCCAUAUGCUUUGAGUUAUGUUAGGGCUGCAUUUUUCCACUAAUCAUUGCGCAUGAUUUAUUUUUAGGGUUCCAGACCCCAGGUCUAGCAUAGAGCUGGGCACCUUAAGUUCUUCAGUCUUAACCUAGCAAUAUGAUGAAAGUUAAAUAUCUUUUUCUUUGUAUGUUAUUUCUUGUGUAGGUGGGGCAUCAUGGACGCCUCUUUCUAUUCGCUAGAGAUGAGUGGAAAUGCUGCCUAAUUAGGUUUGAACUACAGAGAUAUAAGCAAACGAUUUCAUUUGCUACUAAAUUUUGCAGCUUGUGCCAUGCAGAGAUUGAUUGGUUAUUCAAAGAUGUCAAAGAUAUUCAAAGAAAUGGAUUACAAGUGACCAAGCUGGAUAGUGAUCACAAUAUGAAGCAAGGGCAUGAAGGAAAUGAUGUGAGAUUGUGGCAUGCAGCUGGCAUAUUGAGCUUCAGUGAAGAGAACAACUCACACGAUAGGCAUUGGGUGCUGAAAUAGUUCUGCACAUUGCGGGUGCUAAGCUGCUUGAGACAUCCUAUAACUUUGUUUUCUACAUGCCUUUAUAUUUGUAAUCUCGGAGUUAUAAAGAUAUAUGACCAUGGAAUUUUAGUCGAUUGAAGGCCUUGCCUUUUAUCUGCAUUUUCUAAAGAUCAAGAGUGG